rnacentral:lncRNA from 1 species
UGAAAUGGACUUUUCAAGGGUCCUAAUUCAAAUCAUGUAGUAUUUAAGAUGUCAAUCCAUUUCUAAGUAUUUUGAUGCAAAGAGAAUGCAAGUUCAAACUUAAUCUAAGUGCAUUCAAUUCAAUGAAGUGGUUUGAUUAAACCAACAAGAUUCUGACACACCUAAAUAGCAACUUUCAAUCAAAUGGAUAAAAGAGGAAUCAUGGGCAUAUGAUUUUGAUUUCAGAUGACUAAGAUUUAAUCUAAAAUGGCAAGGUUUCAAUCAACACAUUCCCCUAAGUCUAGAUAGCAAUUCUAAGCAAGUUCUUUUCCAAGACAAAAGCUCAUUUACUCUCAUUGAUCAAACAUCAAAUUCCUUUGGUUUGUGUCAAUCAAGCAAUCAUUAAGAAAGAUCAUUCAACUUUCUAAACUCCCCUAACAUCAAAUUCCUUUGGUAGGGUAAGUUAAGAGCAUGUUGAGUUGGCUUAGACAUUUCAUCGAACACCUUCCGGGCAAUGAAAUGUCUAGAGUUCUAAUCUAAAAUGGCCACCUCUAGAUUAGCGUUAAGAUCACUCAAUCAAGCAAGGAAACAUAUUAAUCUACUCUAAAACAUUCUAGAUCAUCACUUAAUCAUCAUAAUCAUCCUGGCCCAUGAAUCCAAAGAUGACUACUCACUCAUUAUCAUGGUAG